rnacentral:rRNA from 1 species
UGAUGCAGCACGCCGCGUGAGUGAUGACGGCCUUCGGAGUUGUAAAGCUCUGUCUUCAGGGACGAUAAUGACGGUACCUGAUGAGGAAGCCACGGCUAACUACGUGCCAGCAGCCGCGGUAAUACGUAGGUGGCGAGCGUUGUCCGGAUUUACUGGGCGUAAAGGGAGCGUAGGCGGACUUUUAAGUGAGAUGUGAAAUACCCGGGCUCAACUUGGGUGCUGCAUUUCAAACUGGAAGUCUAGAGUGCAGGAGAGGAGAAUGGAAUUCCUAGUGUAGCGGUGAAAUGCGUAUAGAUUAGGAAGAACACCAUUGGCGAAGGCGAUUCUCUGGACUGUAACUGACGCUGAGGCUCGAAAGCGUGGGGAGCAAACAGGAUUAAAUACCCUGGUAGUCCACGC